UGGGGAAUAUUGCACAAUGGGCGCAAGCCUGAUGCAGCCAUGCCGCGUGUGUGAAGAAGGCCUUCGGGUUGUAAAGCACUUUCAGCGGGGAGGAAGGCGAUAAGGUUAAUAACCUUGUCGAUUGACGUUACCCGCAGAAGAAGCACCGGCUAACUCCGUGCCAGCAGCCGCGGUAAUACGGAGGGUGCAAGCGUUAAUCGGAAUUACUGGGCGUAAAGCGCACGCAGGCGGUCUGUCAAGUCGGAUGUGAAAUCCCCGGGCGCAACCUGGGAACUGCAUUCGAAACUGGCAGGCUAGAGUCUUGUAGAGGGGGGUAGAAUUCCAGGUGUAGCGGUGAAAUGCGUAGAGAUCUGGAGGAAUACCGGUGGCGAAGGCGGCCCCCUGGACAAAGACUGACGCUCAGGUGCGAAAGCGUGGGGAGCAAACAGG
rnacentral:rRNA from 1 species